CCCGAAAGGUCGAACGGGGAGAUUCAUCGUCAGCGACGCCGGCUUCGUCGUUACUCGCGAUAUCGUCGACCUCGCGUCGACGGCACGCGGUAGCGUCGCGUCAUGCCCGGCGGCGUCGGCGUGCACUUCUCCCCCAGUAGGACGUCGCGACCCGUUGGGCGUCGGCAUAAGGCCCGAUUGGUAGCCUGUCUCGGCGUUCGCGCCGGGGCAGACCGUCGGUCGCCCGGCCGGCUGCCCGGCGGUAUGCGCACGGUAUUGAGCCGCAUCGAACUAUGCGCCCGGCCCGUCGCAAGCUCGGUCAGCGUAUCCCGGUGGUCGGACCUAGCGCCGUCCCCGGGCCUGUCCAGCUGUUCGCGGACGGUGCCCCUAGGGCGGGCUCGCCCCCAAAACGAAAUACCGGUCGGCGACGCUAAUGCUUUGGGUACUUUCA
rnacentral:rRNA from 1 species